AGUAAAAUGUUGCGCUGAAAUUCAAGCUCCACAAUCAUCCAAGUUAGAAAUACAUCCAUACCUCUUCUAACAGGAAUUUUGUAUCGUGAUAUUCCACCCAGGAAAUGAUGGACGAUCCCCGCAAAGAAUCGGACCGGCCCGCCCAUCCUGAGACUUUCCUUUCCAGCCAACCCGAGAAGAACAAUCUCGGAGCGGUCACAUUUGGCGUAGACUUCCCGGUGUGUGUGGUUCUUCCUGCUGGAGGUAGCGGAGAGAGAACCGGACUGCAAACACCCAAACAGUUCUGCUUGCUACUUGGCCGACCGCUCAUAAGCUACACCAUUCAGGCUUUUGAGAGGGUAUCAUGGAUCCGCAGCAUCGUGGUUGUCGUGGCCCAAGAAAACAUGGACCUGAUGACGGACAUCGUUGGGCGCUUCCAGCACACCAAAGUUCGGGUGGUGGCGGGCGGCUGCGCGCGUCACAGGUCCAUUUGUAAUGGAGUCAUGGCUCUAAGUGAGGAAAAGGAGGAAGAGAUGCAGGAGAACAAGGUUGUCAUCAUCCAUGAUGCUGUGCGGCCGUUUGUGGAGGAGGACUUCCUGUAUCAAAUAACCAUGGCCGCCCGGGAACAUGGCGCAUCGGGGGCCAUCCGACCGCUCGUCUCCACGGUGAUCGCCACCACGUCAGAGGGCUUCCUGGACCACUCGCUAGAGCGAGCUAAGUACAGAGCCAGCGAGAUGCCUCAGGCCUUCAAGUACAACAUCAUCCAUAGAGCCUAUCAGAGAUGUACCGAGGCCGAUUUUGACUUUGGUACCGAGUGUCUCCAUCUGGUGCUGCGGUACUGCGCCACUAACGCCAAACUCAUCGAAGGCCCGCCCACGUUAUGGAAGGUCACCUACAAACGAGACUUGGCCGCUGCGGAGUCUGUCGUCAAAGACACGCUAUCUCAAUCGGCCUGCGUGAUCACAGACGGAUGUUCGCAUGCGAGCCGGCUGGCCGACUCCCUCCACGAGGCCUUUUGCAACCUCGAAAUUCAAAUCAAGCUGAACAUCAUCCCAGAUGUGACGGGAGACAACGUCAGGUAUCUGCUCAAGGCCUGGAACUUCAUCCAAUUUUCUAGGAAUGUUUCUGAUUUGGCUAAAGUGGAGACCACGUUCGCAGCAGUGGAGAGAAGCGGACAAACGCUUCUUCACCCAGUGGUUGUCAUUUUGGUCCAUCUAAGCACUCCGGAAUGGGCGGCCGAACCGACAACCUUUGCAGAGUUAGCAUUAGCAGCUAAGCGCCGAAAUAUUCUCUUGUACGGCGUCCAUGUGCAGCAGUCAAAGGUAAAGCUUUCAUGUCUGACUUUCCUCAUUGCUCCUGAGCAAUUUUUUUUUUUUAAAGAGCAGCCAAACUAAACAGCUCUUUUGUACAUGAUUUAUUUUGCUGUGUCUUUUCUAGAUUGAAUGCCUGUCGCUGUUUUUUAUCAACGUCUUGGCGUUAUCAUUCUUAGGUCCAAAACAAAUCACGUACCCUGGAAUUAAAAGAUAAUUCAGUUUCUGAAGACAGUUUGAAUUAGCAACAUGAAGUUUGGUGGGUAUGUUUAUCAUGGGGAGACCCACAAAAAAAAAAAAAAAGUGUCAAGAAGGAAUGCAGGAAUGUUUUGGUUCGAAGCAGCCAUUUUUUAAGGUUCUUUAAAAGCGAAUCCAUGCGAUAACCCCGUAAGCAAGCAGUCGAGGAAGACGUCGGCUCACUUGAAAGUACUUUGACCUCAACAUAUGUCGUGAGAAUGAUCGGAAAUCAUGCGGUCGACCUCAGAUCUCAAAGUCAUCGCUUAGUAAUUAUGGCGGAGUUAUCGGACCGCGAGCUUCACAUCAAGUCGAAUCGGGACCUUUUUGGGGCGCGGGAUGUAUGUUCAAAGACAGGCUUUGACAGUAGGACAAAUGAGGCUGAUCUGUCUUCAUAAAUCAAAACUGCUGCGUGACUCAAAGUGACAUAUUUUGCCCCCCCCCCCAAAAAAACGACAAGAUGAAGAAGUUGUCUUCUCUGUGCUCACAUCUGCCUUUGAUUUGACAAUCACGUUGGACGUUACGGUUUCCUUCUCAAUUAUAGAGACAAGGGAAUCCAUGGAGCAAAAUACAGAUUGGGAUAAAUCUCAAUCUUUUAUUAUUUCAAAGAGAUCAUUUUUUCCAGAAGUACUGGCUGUGUCCAUGGGGCAAUAAUCGCAAUUUUCCAGAGAGCACAGAAGAAAACUGGUCAAGAAGAUUUUGAGCUUUAAGUCCCCACUUAAUACCUCUGCCAGGGUGCUUUGGUUUGCGGGUCAAUUUGCAGCACACUUGCGCCUCGGUCCAAAAAUCAAGACAUGACUUGGCCUUGGAGGAGGUCUUCCGUUCAUAUUAAUUAUAGGGUGACGUUUUGUGUUAAUUUCCCGUCCAGUCUGGUUUCAUAUGAAAAAGACAUUUGGAGAAGAGAACAUGGCAAGUUGAUGAUGACGUUUGAUGGGCUUCUCAAGUGUUAUACCAUCAUCUCAUCUCAAUUUGGAGGAGUUUGAAGAAGUUGCGAUCGCACUUGGCCGCCAUUUUGAGAGUUUUGAGUCAAGAACCGAUCGGAGUUAAGCAAACCAUGUCUCUCUGAGGACACUAGGCGUGAAAUCUGUAAGCCUUCUACUCUGACAACAGAUCCCUCACCUAAAAAAGUCACACCCUGUUGUGAAAACAGGGGCGAUAUGUGUCACAGGAUCCCUCCCCCUUGCGUUCAGUCCCUCUCGCCCUUGUCACCUUCUGAAAAGACACUUGUCAGUCUGAUGUCAGACUGAUGUAUGGCUCUUGUAAUCAACGCACUGAGAGCCCUGAUGUUUACCCUAGCCCGUAUUUCCUCUCCGGCCGGGAAAUCCUAAACCUGAGAGGAGAUUAGCGAGGGGGGGGGGAGAAAAGAGCAACGGAGAAUGGAGACCAGGUCGGGUGAAAGACACUCUAUUAUCCCGGACCUGUUCACAUCAAGGUCUGAAAGGCAGACAGGUGAAACCUGAUCCAAGCCAAAGAAUCUUUAAGCACCACAACCUCGGAGUUGCUGCCUGGUUUGGGUCAAGGGAGAUUAGGGACAACUGGUGUCUCGGUGGUUUCAGCACACUCUUCACUAAAUCCCUCCAGUUGUCCACCACGUGUCAUGAACUUCCGGCGUUCAAUGGCGAGGAAGUUUUAUCGAAACCGCAAACAUGUUUUUGAAGGGUAUCCCCACCCCCAACCAGAGCAGGAAUUGAAGGGAUGUUGGUGUCUUCAGACCGAAGUGGUACGUGAACCAUGAGGAACAUAUUCAUGGUAUCAAGAUGGAUCUUCCAGGCUCUUCUCUGAACGAGACAUCUCCAGAUGUGUGAAACCCGAGCGCCUCAAGUUGGCUCCAGGAAGGGUUCAUACCAGACUGUGUUUGCUCAGCUUUGAUAUGUCAGAUUAAAAAGAUGGAACUGGAUUUAGGCAUUAGAACAGACAAGUGGAAAAUCGGGUUCCAAAAGUGGAGUGUCGUGACAUUUCUGUAUGUUCCUACUCUUUCUGACCACCCAGAGACUUUUUCCUGAUGUUCCUCACUUGUCAAGAAUGCUCACCUUCCUCUUUUAUUUGCAAUUCUAACAGCCGAGAAGGGAAAAUAACAUCUCCGCAUGUUUGUUCAGACAAAACUCAAAUGCAACCAGAUGCCAAUCUGUCUAGAUUUGAUUGGAUCUGCAGCUAGGUCAACACCAAAAACCGCUAACACAACAUCACGCCGUAGUGGCAAUCCUGAUGACUACUUGCCACCCAACAUGGUUUCCAUCAAGGAAACUUCUAAUUCCCUAUAUGUUUAAGAAUACCUCAUCGUGAAGACACAAGUACGGUAAUAGGCCAAGUGGAUUGCUUUAGUGGUUAGCUACCACGGUUCACCUGUUCUCGCAUACCUUCCGCAGUUGAGUGUUUCGGCUGUUGUGAUGUGAUAAAAGUACAGGAACUAAAAGUCAGGUCAUUUGAGAGUGUCUUGCAUUCUGAAUUGUCACUUCAUCCAUCACACUCUUGGCCUGCAUGUUUCUGUAUGGCCUCAACUAAACAUCCAGCGGUUCUGCUCCUUGUUGAGAGGUAUGCCCGUCAAAGUUCAUACGUCUAGUCUGUACGUUCAACGUGAUGAACGAACUGCUAAGUUGAAGUACAAACUUCAAAAGAUCUUUCGUGAAAGGCUUUUUUUGAAAUCAAAACUGGAAUUACAGUAAGUCCCUUCAACCAUGUCGUGUCAAAAUCCGGCCUCGGUUAUAAUAAAAGCAGACUUCACUUCUUCCAUUGACAUCCGACGAUGAACAAGGCCUAACAAACCGACAUCCUGCCAGUCGAAUCUCGUACAAAGCCAACAUUUUUAUUUGCCAGUGGAAAUUUCCAAGCGUCAUAAAUGACGCGUUCAACACCAAAUCGAAAGCCUCCAUCCGUCAGAGAUUCCGAUCGCUGCUUACGAGGAAGUUCCGUCUUAUUCCAAAUGGCAGCCUCCGAAACGAGCCACCAAGCGGGGAAGGAGAACCCCUUUUGAUGGACUUGUGUACACAUGGCUUUGACUAUUCCGACGAAGAGCCCGAUAGGGAUCAGAUACUGUAUAUAUAGAACUGUCAGGGCCUGUGGAAAGCGGUUUUCCAGACGUAAAUCAGCCUUGGCAUUAAUGCGACUGCGACUGAAGGUUUUGAAUUCCUUAUCUUUGUAAAUCAUCUCAUCAAGGGAUUGGCUGAGCUGUGUGUGACACGCAUGAACUCUAAACCUCGUUUUUCUCUCUAAGCCUUAAACUAUCCGUGGUUGCUUGGGCACGAGAUCUCCAGGCAUACUGUAUUUCCUUAGGGUUAGGGUUGGGGUUGGGGGGGCUUAGACAUAUACAAUGCGGGAGCGAGGUAUGGUGGCACCGAACUCAAUCGAUGCGCAACUGUCCCACUGUCAAACGUAAAGAUACGAAGAUGUUGGAUUGAAUUUAAAGAGGCCGUAAAGGCUUUGUCAAUAUAAUUCCUAGGCCCCACCGUUUGGGCAUCCCGCCAAUGGUUUUGGUGAGCUGUUAUUUAAUUGGGACUCUUGGCUGGUCAUGAAGGGGAAGAAGCUAAGUGGGAAACCUUGGGAGAGUGUCACUGGCUGACUUCUUAAUUACCCAAAGAGACCUUUUGGGACUUGAAAGCGUCCAUUGCGUUGGUGGCAUUCGAGGAGAGGGGCGACCACUCGCUGUGUGGUCGACCACCCCCUCCACACAACUUUGCCUUUCAAGAGCUGUCGCCUUGUGGCGAGCCAAAGUCGUCCAUGAUUGAAGUCUCAUUGGUUAAAAAGUUGCAGUGUGGUGACAUCAAUAACAAUAACAAGACCCUUUGCUUGUGUUUAUGUAUAUGCCGCACAUGGGAAUGGUUUCGCUUUUAAGCUCGUGCCCAAUCUUCCAUCUAGAGAAUAUUAAAACAAUGCUGUCACCUCAUUUGGCAAAAAAUAGGCUAUGCUCGGUUUCUUCAGCGAAAGAUUUUUUUUUGUUGUUGUUGCGUGCUCGGUCUGUUUGCUGCUUUGUAUAAGUUAGCAGAUGUUUUAAGUUAUAAUUACCACAUCGUCUAUUCGAAUUUAUGCUAUGCAAAUUUUUUUGCUUCUCAUGGUGGAAAAGUCACAUGUUAAGAGAAAGGACAUCAAAAAAAAAAGAUUGGAUUAGUCCAUAAUGGACAUGGCAGGGGAUGAGCGGAAAAUGUUCUGGUGCUGAGUUUAUUCUAACACGCGGUCACACUCCUUCAGAUCCACGCCAGUCAGUGAUGACACUUCUGGCUCGGGACUCCGUGAAGUGAGGCUGUGUCGUGGCGGAAAGUACGGGAGUCUGGUAAAAACUGGAAUCCAAAUCUCAUAACGUGGCUGGCUCUAAACAGGAUGCCGAGCGCUGGGAAAGAUCUUUCCCAAAAGUGGCCGAGCUGACGUCAGCUUUGAUUCGAGAGCGGAGCGAGGCUUUGGUGGGACAACUUCUACAAGCGUGACGAGCGAAAAAAUCUUUUCGGGUCGGCUCCACAUUUAAAGCGAGUGGGAAGCGCAAACUGUCACUCAUCUCCUAAGCACGCCUCCACAUCUUGAUAGGAGCGUUUUUUCACCAUGAUUAAUAAAUUGACUUGGACAUGUGGAAUUGCCGGAAUGUCCCUUUAAUGCUCUCCAGACUAAUGCUUUUCUUUCAUUGUAUGAUGCAUGUUGAGAGAGAAAAAAAAAAAUCUACAUGUGCUUUGCAUUUUUACAUUACAGUAUUCUAUCCACAAAAUAAAGCAGUGUAUGGUUUAUAUAUAUUUUU